CUUCAUGAAGCCGGAAUUGCUAGUAAUGGCAGGUCAGCAUACUGCCGUGAAUACGUUCCCGGGCCUUGUACACACCGCCCGUCACACCAUGAGAGUUGGGGAUACCCGAAGCCUGUGAGCUAACUUUAGGGAGGCAGCAGUCGAAGGUAGAAUCAAUGAUUGGGGUGAAGUCGUAACAAGGUAUC
rnacentral:rRNA from 1 species